CAGUAGCCGCGGGAAUACGGAGGGUGCGAGCGUUAAUCGGAAUAACUGGGCGUAAAGGGCACGCAGGCGGUUAUUUAAGUGAGGUGUGAAAGCCCCGGGCUUAACCUGGGAAUUGCAUUUCAGACUGGGUAACUAGAGUACUUUAGGGAGGGGUAGAAUUCCACGUGUAGCGGUGAAAUGCGUAGAGAUGUGGAGGAAUACCGAAGGCGAAGGCAGCCCCUUGGGAAUGUACUGACGCUCAUGUGCGAAAGCGUGGGGAGCAAACAGGAUUAGAUACCCGUGUAGUCCCUGUCUCUUAUAC
rnacentral:rRNA from 1 species